CCUACGGGGGGCAGUAGUGAGGAAUAUUGAUCAAUGGGCGCGAGCCUGAACCAGCCAAGUCGCGUGAGGGAUGACGGCCCUACGGGUUGUAAACCUCUUUUGUCGGGGAGCAACGGGCGCCACGUGUGGCGCCACUGAGAGUACCCGGAGAAAAAGCAUCGGCUAACUCCGUGCCAGCAGCCGCGGUAAUACGGAGGAUGCGAGCGUUAUCCGGAUUUAUUGGGUUUAAAGGGUGCGUAGGCGGAUCGUUAAGUCAGUGGUCAAAUUGAGGGGCUCAACCCCUUCCCGCCAUUGAAACUGGCGCUCUUGAGUGGAAGAGAAGUAUGCGGAAUGCGUGGUGUAGCGGUGAAAUGCAUAGAUAUCACGCAGAACCCCGAUUGCGAAGGCAGCCUUCCGGCGCCCUACUGACGCUGAGGCACGAAAGUGCGGGGAUCGAACAGGAUUAGAUACCCCAGUAGUC
rnacentral:rRNA from 1 species